UCCNCCAUUGUUAUCAGGCAUAUGCUGCAC
rnacentral:piRNA from 1 species